CUACGGGUGGCAGCAGUGAGGAAUAUUGCACAAUGGGGGCAACCCUGAUGCAGCAACGCCGCGUGGAGGAUGACGCAUUUCGGUGUGUAAACUCCUUUUAUAUGUCAAGAAAAUGACGGUAGCAUAUGAAUAAGCACCGGCUAACUCCGUGCCAGCAGCCGCGGUAAUACGGAGGGUGCAAGCGUUACUCGGAAUCACUGGGCGUAAAGGACGCGUAGGCGGGCUUGUAAGUCAGGUGUGAAAUCCUACAGCUUAACUGUAGAACUGCACUUGAAACUACGAGCCUCGAGUAUGGGAGGGGGAGAUGGAAUUAGUGGUGUAGGGGUAAAAUCCGUAGAUAUCACUAGGAAUACCUAAAGCGAAGGCGAUCUCCUGGAACAUAACUGACGCUAAGGCGUGAAAGCGUGGGGAGCAAACAGGAUUAGAUACCCCAGUAGUC
rnacentral:rRNA from 1 species